CAGCACCGCGGGAAUACGUAGGUGGCAAGCGUUGUCCGGAUUUAUUGGGCGUAAAGCGAGCACAGGCGGUCAAUUAAGUCUGAUGUGAAAGCCCCCGGCUCAACCGGGGAGGGUCAUUGGAAACUGGUUGACUUGAGUGCAGAAGAGGAGAGUGGAAUUCCAUGUGUAGCGGUGAAAUGCGUAGAUAUAUGGAGGAACACCAGUGGCGAAGGCGACUCUCUGGUCUGUAACUGACGCUGGGGCUCGAAAGCGUGGGUAGCAAACAGGAUUAGAUACCCCUGUAGUCCCUGUCUCUUAUACA
rnacentral:rRNA from 1 species